rnacentral:piRNA from 1 species
UAUGGUUUUGAAAUCUAAAGA